rnacentral:lncRNA from 1 species
CGGGAGGCAGAUGGUCUGGCCCGUUCUCGGGCUAGUUCAGGUUCCGCGCUCCGAGUCACAAAGCGCAGGGUCACGUGGGCGGGCCGGUGCGCUUUGUGACGCCACGGCCCCGCCCCUCGGCCCGCCUAUCCGCGCACACCGGCUCCGCCUUGCGCGCGCCGCCCGUGCAAUCCCUGCUUAGAGACCCCGGAGUGGGGCGCUCGCCCGAAGCCAGGCCGCGUCCGCCAUAGUGCCUGGCUUGGAGGUGUCGCCGUCGCUGGGUGAGGGCCCGAGAGCGGCAGGGGGGCAAAACAAAAAAGGGAGCCAGCGAAGCCCUCAUCGCCGCCCGGCCGUUUCCGGGCUCAACUGGUCGCGGUUCUGGGCCUAAAGGCGACGGGAGCGAAAGGCGAGAGAAGCGCGGAGGAGGAUCCGGCGAGAGGAAGCGUCAGGGAAGCCUCGGCGGUGUCCCCGGGGUCCGCCGAAGCCACCCGGCCGCUGGCUGGGGCCCGGGGUGGUGAGGAAGUGCUCCGAGGCCUCGCGGAGGCCCAGCGCCGGCUUUGUGUCGAGGCGGCGGCGGCGGCGGGGGGGAGGCGGAGCCCGAGCCGGGGGCGGCCUGCGGAAGGCCUCUCCUCCGCCGACCGCGCGUCCUCGGCCUAGGCCGCGGGCCGCUCGUGGCCGCCGGGGAGCAGGCGCCAGGGUGUGUGUGUGGUGGGGGCCUGGGCCUGGGGAAGCUGACGCCGGUCGUCCGGAAGCCAGCCGGAGGCGAGAGGCCGCUCGAGGACUCCGGGCCUAGGCCCUCUCCCCGCAACCUUCUCCCGGGGCCUGGGUCACCCCCAUCCACGGAGAGAGACCAGCCGGGAGGUGCAGCCGCGCUAUGGACCCCUGACCCCGCGGGGGCACCCGGACUCUAACGUGUGGACUGACCGCUACUGACUGCACUGCCGGCCCUUAGCAUGAGCGAGGGGGACCCAGCCGGGUGACAUUGUGCCCGUUGGAGGAUUCUCGAUUUCCCCCCUUCCCGGUCCUCGUCCUCCUCCUCCCACAUGAAGCGCUUCUGAGUGCCGGGGGGGGUUCUGGAUUAUUGUUCUCACGCACCCCUGCUUGUGGUUGGGGGGUGUUUAAUCUGAGGCCUCAGGGUCCUUCGGUGUCUCUUUUGAGUGUUUUCUGUGUGUACAUAUUUUGCUCUUCCGUUUUAUAAAUAUACAUAUAUUCAGAGUGUCCACGUCUCCUCNUUUAACAAGGGUCAUACCCUUUAAAAAUUGUCAUCAUCUGUAAUGUCCCUCUGCUUAGGGAAAGGGACAGAUAGGAAGUAGAUUUUUUUUGAAGUUCACCAGAAGUAUCCCUUAAUACUGCAGUUAUAGUUCACAAAACAAAUGGAUUUUUAAUGAUUUUAGGCCAUAUUGCUACAUUAAUGCAUAUUUAUGAAUGAAAGGUAAAGCAAUAUAGGUGAAAUUUGAGGAUAUUAAGGCAAUUUUGUCCCGAGUUUUGGCACCAAAAAAAAAAAAAAAAAAAGCAAUUUUGUUACAUACUAUGCAGUUUUCAUUUUUGCCAUUUUGAGUUAUGUGGUAGGGCUAGGCUUUAUCCAUCUUGUCUACAUAGCAAUUAAAAGCAGCUUUUAGACUGGAGGAAGUUAUGGUUGAAGGAAUCUUGUCCACAAAUGGGAGAGUUUUGUGACUAUGUGUUAUUUUUUCCCUAGUCCAGGAAAUAUAAAUACAUGAUAACAUAAUCUAGGAAAGUGCUUUGCCCAGCAGCAUGUUUUCUUUCAUUUAUAGUGUAAGCUGAACUUCAGUGGAGAAAGGUUAGGCUGGUUAAGAAAAGAGUGGGAGACAAAUGUCUAUUUCGUGUAGUCGUCAUUUUAGGGGAUGAAAAGAUACCAUUGAUAGCAGCGUAGAGGGUAGCAGCUUCAUGAGUUUUGUGAAAAACAGCAUCCGCUGUUUCAAGACCCUUGAAUAAAGAUGCCACUUGGUUUUAGCACUGUUAGUAAAGUUGCAAAAUAAGUGUUUGUAGUAUAAGAGAUUGCCUAAGAAAGAAGGUUGAGCUGGAUCAUUUCAGUUUCUGCUGUGUUUCUAUUAAACAUUUCUUAUAGUUUUUGAAAUCUGUCUGUUUAGGACCCCUAAAUCCUGGUAAUACUAAAAUGCUUGAAUCAGAAUUUUGUUUUAGAUUUUAAGUAUCCUGUUUACUUUUAGACCCUUUCUGAAUCUCUCCAUUUCUCAAAUUCAACAUUUUUCAUUCCAUCUAUGCCAUUCAUGUUUUUGGAUCAAAACUUAUGCUGGCAGGUCCUUAGAAGCUAAAAGACUACUUAUUAAGGAGUUAUUUUAAAUGUAAGCUAUUUUGGGAGUUAGAAAACCAUUGUAAUUCAAGUAAAGUGGUCAGUUAGAAUAUCUGUUUGAAGGGCAUCAGGACACCUGACUCUUUAAUACUAUUUAACAUAGUAUUGUGCAGAUCAAAUUAAUAAAUUGGUUUUGGAAGCUAUUAUGAAUGCAUUUGAAAAUUGUUACAUAUUCAGAAACUUCCUGUCAGAUAGUUGACUUAUUUUGACUUUCAAAUUAACUUUUUAAGCUUAUUAAAAAUCCCUCAUCCUUUCCCACUUCCAAUUUUCCUGACUCAGAUUGAUUGGAAUUUGGGACUGUAACAAGCUAUCCAGCAUAAUGUCCAGAGUCUUACAUUGGCAUGCCUAAUUCUGGGAGAUUGCGUCACUCUAAUUGGAUACUUGUAAGGUAUCACCAAGUAGUUGAAAUAUAUUGAUAAGAACCCUUGCCUGAACAAUUUAUUUUAUAACAGGGAAUACUAAUAGCAUUAUGACUAAAAAUAAUAAAGCUGACAUACAUUUAAAAACCUAAAAAUUCCACACAUGUAAUAAGCUUGAAAUAAUUGAAAGAGAGAUAGCCACUUUGUGCUAAGUAAUUUAAGAGAAGCACAUAAGCUUAAUACCAUUAAAAGUGAACCCUAAUAUCUGGUUGUGGGAUUAAGAGAGAUGGAUACAUUUUUGCAUCUCUAAUGAGUUAUUUUUUCUUUUUGAUACUGAGAUGCCUUGGUAAAUCUUGUUAUUGUAGUUAAGGGUGGGUUCAGUUUUUUUGUUACUAGUAUAAGUUAUAGACAGUCCAAGAAGGGAAAUAGCACCAAUUCAUCCUCUCUCGGUUUUCUCAAAAAGUAGCACCAUUUACUAAAACUAGGAACCUAGGAAUUCAUGCCUCUUUUUCCUUUAUCUUCCCAUUAUUCAGCCCAUCAGCAAGCUGUGUCAUUUCUGUCCCAAUAACAUUCUUUAUUUUAUGUAUUUAUGUGGUGCUGAGGAUUGAACCCAGUGCCUUACACUCACUAGGCAAGUGCUCUGCCACUCAGCCCCAGCCCUGUCCCCAUAACAUUCUGGCUCUCCAUUUCUUUCUGCCACAUCCCCACACAUUAUCCCUGUCUGGUAUCAUCUUCAUUAUCUCUACCAGGACUAAGAGGCAGCAGCCUCUUAGUCACCCCGUUUCUCCUCUUCCCCUACAACUUAUUCUUUACAUAGGUGACAUAAUUUUAUUUUUUUAAAUUAACUUGUUUGAUUUAUUUACUUAUUUUUGUAGUACUGGAGUUUAAACCACUAAGCUAAGUCCCCAGUACUUUCUAUUUUUUAUUUUGAGUCAGGGUCUCAUAUCCUCCUGCCUCAAUCUAAUAGGUGGAAUUAUAGACAUGUGCUACAUGCCCAGAAUCUUUUUCUUUUAUAACAUAAAUUGUUGUCAUUUCAUAUAAAAUCCUCCAGAGACUUUCUUGUACUUAAAAACAAAAUAUAAAUCAGUAUAUGUCCCACGCCUUUUUAUCUGUUGUGUAUGUCAUUCUCUUGUUUGUUUGUUUUUUUUUUUCAGCUCUUUAGUUCUUUGUGUCAUUUUUUCAUGUUUUUCCCUCUGUCUAAAAUACUUUUCAUCUAGCUUUUUUGUGUACCUUGCUGGCUUCUCAGUUGUGUUUUGUUGUUGUUUUGUUCUGUGGUGAUGAACUCAUUCUGCCAUUGAGCUACAUCCCCAAACCCUUUUUAUUUUUUACUUUUUAUUUUGAGACAAAGUCUAGUUAAGUUGUCCAGGCUGGCCUGGCACUUGAUGAUCCUCCUGUCUCAGCCUUCUGAAUAGCUGGUAUUGCAGUCCUCUGCCACCAGGCCAGCUGUAUCAGUCUUCAGAGUUGCAAAUGUAGGUUCCUUAGAGGGGCUUUCUUUGGAUAGAAUGUUGAUUCUAUCCAAAGUUACAUCCACAAUCUUUUAUUAUAUAAAAAGAAACUCUGUUCAUAAUGUCAUAAUUUAAUGCAUAGGCUGUUUUCUCCAGUAGUAAUAAGCUCCAUGGGUGCAGGGUUUGUAAUAUUCAGUUCAUUUUUAGAGCUUGAGGAGGCAGAACUAAUCUUCAUUCUAAAUAAGUUUUGCCAUGUAUGUUGAACAUUUCUGGCUAAAUACACUAGGGAAUGGCAUAGUCUUAAUGAGAUUGGGAGUUCCACGAAGUAGAGGUACCAGAGCUAAGCAUUUGCUUUUGUUAUUUGGUGUCCUUGGAACAGAAGCCCCCUAUGGCUUUGGAUAUAUUAUCUAACAAUAUUAGAAAUGAUGCAAGGAACAUGCAGUUGUUAGUGCCCUUUUGUGAUUGUGUUCAUUUCCCACGACACUUAUAUUUGGUUGAAGUUGUCUAAUUCUUGAGUAUUUACCCAAAUCCCCAAAUAGAAAUUUGACUCUUUUUUUCCUUUAUUUACAGAAUAUACUGAUGAUAAUGCUCUAAUUCCUAAGAAUUCAUCUGUAAUUGUUAGAAGAAUUCCCAUAGGAGGUGUUAAAUCUACAAGCAAGACAUAUGUUAUGUAAGUAUUUUUGAAUUUUUAUGGAUUUCUCAAAAUAGACCUUUUUAAAUUUUUGAAUCCUAUUUAUAUCUUUUUGUUUGUUCUGAUUUCUUUCCCUGGUUAAGCUGACUUAGCCUGUCAUUUAUAAGCAAGAACUAUUCUUAGGGAAAAUUUCUGCUAUUUUCUCACCAUAAAAAAUAUAUGUGACAUAGAUCUUAUAUAUUUUGACAGCAUUGAGAGUAUUCAGUAAUGCUGACUUACGUUCUUUAUCAAAAGAGACUUCAGUUAGGAGGCCAUAUAUAUAGGAUAUAUGAGCAUAACACUGGAAUCGGGCUUAGGUUUGACUUUGUUUAUUGCUUUAUGCCUACCAAUUGUGUUACUUUGGGUGAUUUUCCUAAAGUGUUUGUUGCCUCAGAUUUCUCUAAAACAGAAAGGGAUAUGAUAUAUAGUUUGCACUUUAUAUCCUUGGGUUCUGUGUCUGUAAGUGCAGAUUGAAAAGAUUAGAAAAAGGAAAAAAAAAGUUACUAUAUAAGUCACAUAUACAUUAUAUUCAGAUAUGCCAUUUCAUAUAAAGGACUUGAGGGUCCUAGAUCCAAUCUCAUGAAUACCUAGGUUCAACUAACUUACAGAUUCUAAAAAUUAGAUAGUGCUAGCCAUAUGGUAAAUGCCCAAUAUUGAAAUAAGAAACAGAUUCUCUCAGGACUAGUCUAAGAGUUUAUAUUUACUAGAAGGGUAUAAUUAAAACUUCAACUUCUCUGCUUUCUUGCAACUUUUUAUACUGAUAGCAGAACUAAAAAUAUGUGAAGAAGGCAGCAAUUUGGGCUAUUUAAAGAGUAGUGGUUUUUACUGAGAAUUUACAUAGCUUUGUUUUAAAUUUGGCAAAUUCUGCUUUGGGUCAAAGAAAAAUUAUGGAAUUUGUUGGUCCUAAGAAUUGCAAUGUGUUCUUGGAAAUAAGGUAAAAUAGUCGUUUCUUGGAGUUUUACCUCAUGUGGGCAAGUGUUGUGAAAUUUUUCUCACUAGUUAGUUGUAAAGUUACAUUCUAUAUCUUAACAUUUGAAGGUCUCUUGUGUAAUAGCUGCAGAAUAGUAUCGGCUUUAAAAAGGUGAAUACCUUUUUGUUGUGAUUACCAAGUAAACUUUGUAGUACAUGCUUUUAACUGUAAAUGAUAUUAAGGAUUAUGAAUUAAGAUGAUGAUUUUAAGAAUUAAUUUCUGUAACCUAGUAUGAAAUUACACUUUUUAUCAUGUGUUUUUUAGAAAAAUAGCAAACAUCCCUUUCUCUGGAUUUCUUUUCUCUUUCUUUCUUUUUUUUGAUUGAGAAAAGAAUAAUUUGAAGUAAAUGGCAAAACAAGUUGCCUCUUAACACAAAUUGCAUGUUAAUUAUCAACACAUAGGGUUUUGUUUAUAAUAAAUUUGCCUGAAAAUAUCUCUGUGUUUGUUGAGCAAAUACUAGAAAAUGAGCCCCCACACCCAUUUUUUUAAUCUCAGAACUUCCAAAUAAUGCAUAAAAGCUGAGCAUUUAAAAGUUAUACUUAGAAACUCAACCCCUGUUUAUUUCCUGUGUGAGCUAAGGAAAUUUCUUUUUAGAUUUAUUUGUAUGUUCUUUUAAAAAUCGUGUUGUCCAAUUCUACAUAACCAUUUAACUCAUUCUUUUUAACUAAAAUACUCUCAGACUAAGUUGUAUCUUCCUGAGAGUUUGGGUUCUUAUUCAAUUAUUGGCCAUUGUUUUGAAACUUUUAAAAAAUGAAAAUAACUGUCAACCUGUCUAUUUGAAAGUUAGUUUUUGGAGGACGGUAGUUUCUCGUGGAUCCAAAUCAAAUGCUAAUGGCAAUAAUCUUGCUUUGAGAAAAUAUGUGUGGAAAUUCAUUAGGUGACUCUUAAAAAACUAUAGAAUGAUCUUUCAGUCUCUUAAGAAUGAACCACAGGGGCUGGGAUUGUGGCCCAGUGGUAGAGCUCUUGCCUUGUGUGCAUGGGGCACUGGGUUCUAUCCUCAACACCACAUAAAUAAAUAAAAUAAAAGUAUUGUGUCCUACAACUAAAAAAAAAUUAAAAAAAAAAAAUGCACCACAGAGUUUCUCAACAUAAUAAAGUCCCCAUACUACCUUUCAGAAAACAUUUAUUAUAAAUGGCAAGGUACACCUAUUCUAGAAUUCCCCACUGUGGAAAUUUUUUUAACCCUUUUGAAAGGGGGUAAAUAUAAAAUUUUUGUAUGAAAGGAAAAUUGUGUUACUAAAAACGUGAUUGGUGAUAUGAAUUAAUAUUUAUUAGCACAAAAAAAUCAAAAAUACUAAGGUUAGUUAAGAUUUGUAAAAACUAAUGUUAGUCUUUGUUGUUUUUUGUUUUUUAGAAGUCGAACUGAACCAGUGAUGGGAACUACAAAAGCAGUAUGUAAAAACACAAUCUCACACUUUUUCUACACAUUGCUUUACCUUUUUAUAUUGUUGCAGUGAAGUAAAUCAUUUUUAGUACUUAAUAUUCAACUGAUCAUAAUACAUAUUGUAAAUAAAAUGUAUUUUGAUGACAGCUCAGUCGAAUAUGGAUAUAUGUGGCAUAAUUUGCACACUUAUUCUGUAGAAAUGGGAAAUUUGUGCCCAUAACACUGUUUCAUAUUAAAUAUGAUAGAAUUCUCCCUGUAUGACACUGUGUUGUACAGUAAUGUAUGAUCCUUUUUAGAUCGUAUAGGUUUUACACUAAUGAACAUGAUAACAUGUUCUACAUCUGUCUGUCUAUAGUUAGUAUUUUGUAUGUAUGUACAGGCUGUUGUGUGCUUUUUGUUUCUUGCAAUAAAAAAAUGUUUGGAGUUGUAUAUUUUGCCAUUUUCACGUUGUAUCACUUAGUUUUUGUUAGUUCCCCACCCCACCCCCUGGCUGAUUGAUGGCUUUCAAAAAUGCAUUAGCAACAUGCAAAGCUUACAUUAAAGUUUGAUGCUUUCUCUAAGUUGAAGCACGUCAUAGAAAAGAGCUUUCCAGAGACCAUUGAUGCAGCUUUAUUAUUUAUUCUUGCUUUAUUUGGCAAUUUUGAGCUCCUAUUCUUUCUUUACAGUGCAUUAUAACGUAAAAACUACACCCUUCUCCCCAUAAGUACAUAAAAGUCUCAAUGAUUUUGAUGAUUUCAUACAGUUGGGUAUAUUGUUUUCAAAAUUUAAUACAAGGCCUUGCACUUCUAUCUAGCUUAUUCAAAAGUCCAAUUGAAAAUAUUGCUCUUUCAUGAGAUUCUAAAAUGCUGCAUUAAUUGUAGGCUAUUAAAGCUAUAGGUUAUCAAAGGUAACUCCUCUUGACCAGGGUAACGUCUUAAUUUUUAUAAUCCCAGAUUAACCUUAAGUGUGACACUUCUUUGACUUUAAGCUCUUAAGUAAAAGGUAGCAGCAUUCCUAAAUUGUGAAGUGAAACAUCUGUUUCAGAAUACAGGUCUAUCUUAAUUGAGUUCUGUAAACUUGAUGGUUCUCUAAACAUUUUACUGCUCAGGCUUGAUAUUGUACACAAUGCAAGAUGUCUGAAAUCUUCAUUUAGAAUUCAAGGGUUUUGCUUGCUAUUUCAUUUUAUACUUUCAAAGUACUACUGAUUUUGUGUAUGAGGCAUUUCACUAACCUUGGAUCACUGGAUCUUAAACAUAACGUAGAAUAUCUGAACUCUGGACUUGUUCUCUAAAGUAUAUGGCCUUUAGUUCUGAUGGAACUAAAUAUAGUUAUUCAAAGAUCAAAAGUCUUAGAGUUUUGGGUUGUUUUUUUUUUUUUUUUUUUUUUUUUUUUUUUGUUUUUUUUUUUUUUUUUUUUUUUUUUUUUUUUUUUUUUUUUUUUAAAGCAUAAUGCUGUAAAAACUGUCCAAGUUUCUGUUUUGCUGGUGAUUGGUUUAAAAUGAUUUUUAUGUAUCCAAAUGCUAGCACAAAUUAGAUUGACUCUCCUGGUGACUGUAGUAGUAAAUGUAACACGUUUUGUAUAAAGUACAUUUUUAUAUAGUAUUUAAGCUAAUUCAGAUGAAGUUUUAUUUCUUGAAAACAAUUAUUUCCUUUUUGUUUAUUAGCAUGUGUAUAAGCACAAAAUCACAUGUUCAUAAAUAAAGUUAACAUUCUUUUAGCCUUGUGUGUUCCCUGGCAUGUCUGUAUUACAUUUAUAAGAAGCAGUUUAUUUUAAGCUUAUUUAGGCUUUUCUUUUUAUUUAUUUUUUAAUACUUUCAAAGUGGUUUUAGUUUUUAGCUAGGAUUAUCUGAAAUGGACAACUUGUUAUCCCCAUUCUUUACCUGCUUGGGGUGCAUAUGCUGACAUUUAGGAUGCGAGAGUAUAUUCAAACAUAAUCUGUGCUCAUCUUAGGAGACUUAAUUGUGUGGAUUAUAUUCAUUCACAAAAGUAAAUAGAGGUACAGGUCUAAAUUUUUUAUUCUCAUUAGUAAAUGUAUGCACUCUUUUUGGUAAUGUAAGGCAAGUCAUAAUCAGAGGUAGUCAUUUCCGUACU